CAAAGUAUAACUUAAAUUAAGCACUUCGCUUACACCGAAUUAAUGUCUGUUAACCCAAAAUAAUCUGAA
rnacentral:tRNA from 1 species